UAUUGAUCUGUCAAAGUGUCAAAUCUCAAAUCCACAAUCUGUCAUCGGCUUGUUUAAAGUACCUGGUGAUCUCAUUAGCUAUCAUCUUCAAUUAAAAAAUUAGGGUCACUUGCUGUUGGGUGUGGAAAAUUCUCUUUCAGCACAACAAAUUCUAACAGACGUCCACAAAGACUACUACAACCACAAUGACCACCCCUGCAAAACUAUAUGGAAAAGAUUUGAGUGUUUACGAUGAUGUAGAUGUUGAUGAACUACUGGAUAAAUUAACGGCUGAAGAAAUUAGUAUUUUAGCAAAAGAGGCUGAUCCUGAUGAUAGUUUUUUACCUCCCUCCCAAAGGACUAGUUAUGAAUGUGAUAAGGAUGCAACAGGGCCCAUCAAUAGGAAAAAGUUAAUAGAACAUAUAAAUAAGGAAGCUAUGGAAACCCCCGAUAUACCUGAAUUGGAACCUUACGUUGCUGGCAUGGUACGAGGGAAAAAAUGGGUUCCUCCGCCUCCGCCAGCGAAAGAACAAGAGGCUGAAGAACAGAUUGCCGUAGAUUUAGGAGAUGAAUAUGAACAAGCCUUGACUGAUGCUUCACAGGAGGAAAUUAUAGACUUAGCCGCUAUCCUUGGUUUCCAUUCAAUGAUGAACCAAGACCAAUACCACGCGUCGCUCUUAAACAAAGGCCAACCAGUUGGUUUAGGUUGGGACGGUAUCACAAAAGCCUCCAAACCCAAACUAUUCCCCAUGGAUCCACCCAAUAUGACAGAUACAGAAGAAACGGUCAAGAAAGUACAAGACGACGAUGGCAAAUUCAUCGAUUUAAAUUGGAACAAUAUAAAAAAUAUAUCAGACGAAAAAAUCGACAGAUUGUUCGAGGCCCUCUGUAGCAACACACACCUCGAAACGUUAUCGUUAGUGAAUUGCGGUCUGGCCGACAGACACAUAGAGAAGCUGGGCAGGGCGAUCGAGGAGAACGGUACCUUGAGGGUGAUCAACGUCGAAACGAACUUUAUUUCGCCCCAAGGCAUCGUACGGUUGGUUAAAGCCCUGCUCAAGAAGAAGACUGUCGAAGAAUUUCGGGCGGCAAACCAGAGGUCACAGGUGUUGGGUAACAAAAUAGAAAUGGAAAUCACCCAACUCAUCGAGAAAAAUCCGACGAUAUUAAGGCUGGGAUUGCAUUUAGAAUACAACGAUGCCCGGCAUCGUAUCGCCAAACACCUACAAAGAAAUAUUGACACAAAAAGGCGUCUGUCUAGAUUGGGUGCCACCAGCUCAUAGUCUGGUCAUUGCCGUUUUGAGUAUGUAAUUGACAAUUAUAAUCUGGGUAUUGGUGGAGGACUUAGAUAGAAUGCUUUAUAGAAAAAUUCGAUGAUGCAGAAAAUAGACAAAUUCGAUAAGAAGAAAAAAUACGCAGAAUAAAGAAGAUAAUAGGACAGUGAUAAUAUACAUCACGUUGUAAACCGCUGCGAAAUUUAUCAGUUUUUAAAUGAUAAAAACACAGUUUAAAAUUAUUUUGUUAGUUCCUCCACAUUGUUAUAGUGGAAACACCAUGUAAACCUCGCAAACCUGACGUGAGUACCAAAAACCACAUCAUAUUAUAUUUAUAUUAAUAAUAAUAUAACCUAUAAAAUAUCCAAGAAAUAUAAAUAGGACCAGUUUUGUGCCAAGAUCCACACCGGUUUUUGAACCGGCGACAGGGCCGGCCUUGAACGUCUCCAAAAUUAAUCAAACAUGACUUCGAAUAACACCAUGAACACUACCCAAACUACAUCUCACAUCUCAUAUUCCAGUGUUGUUAACACGUUUAAACAACCAACAAAAGACGAAGCCAUAGUUCUUUCUAGUAUUGAAGGAACCAAAGUUCAAGAGUACAUCAUAGCCGUCGGUUCAAUAGUUGGUCCACGUAACGUAUCUUUCGCUUCCAGAAUAGCCAAUAAUAGAAUAUGUAUAUAUCUCUCUUCUAAAAAUAUGGUUGAUUCAUUGCUGCAUUCCCACAAAUACGUCAAUAUAAAAGAAACUCAAGUAGAAAUAAGAAGACUUAUCACUCCAGCUCAAAGACUGAUAAUAUCAAACGCUGGUCCUUCUGUUCCAACCACGUUAAUUGAA
rnacentral:misc_RNA from 1 species